rnacentral:tRNA from 1 species
AAAGACUUAAGUUAACUUUAAACUAAAAGCCUUCAAAGCUUAAAUUGGCGACAACCAGUCUUUA